GGAUUAAGAGCUUGCUCUUAUGAAGUUAGCGGCGGACGGGUGAGUAACACGUGGGUAACCUACCCAUAAGACUGGGAUAACUCCGGGAAACCGGGGCUAAUACCGGAUAAUAUUUUGAACUGCAUAGUUCGAAAUUGAAAGGCGGCUUCGGCUGUCACUUAUGGAUGGACCCGCGUCGCAUUAGCUAGUUGGUGAGGUAACGGCUCACCAAGGCAACGAUGCGUAGCCGACCUGAGAGGGUGAUCGGCCACACUGGGACUGAGACACGGCCCAGACUCCUACGGGAGGCAGCAGUAGGGAAUCUUCCGCAAUGGACGAAAGUCUGACGGAGCAACGCCGCGUGAGUGAUGAAGGCUUUCGGGUCGUAAAACUCUGUUGUUAGGGAAGAACAAGUGCUAGUUGAAUAAGCUGGCACCUUGACGGUACCUAACCAGAAAGCCACGGCUAACUACGUGCCAGCAGCCGCGGUAAUACGUAGGUGGCAAGCGUUAUCCGGAAUUAUUGGGCGUAAAGCGCGCGCAGGUGGUUUCUUAAGUCUGAUGUGAAAGCCCACGGCUCAACCGUGGAGGGUCAUUGGAAACUGGGAGACUUGAGUGCAGAAGAGGAAAGUGGAAUUCCAUGUGUAGCGGUGAAAUGCGUAGAGAUAUGGAGGAACACCAGUGGCGAAGGCGACUUUCUGGUCUGUAACUGACACUGA
rnacentral:rRNA from 1 species